CCUGUUCGAGCGUCAUUGCACCUCUCAAGCGUAGCUUGGUCUUGGACAUCGUCGUAAUUGACGUGUCUGAAAAAGAGUGGCGGUUCAGUUGAACUUCAAGCGUAGUAAAAUUGUCGCUUUGGAAGCUUUUUCUUGGAUUUGCCAAAUUGUAUAUUUCAAUGAUUGACCUCGGAUCAGGUAGGGAUACCCGCUGAACUUAA
rnacentral:misc_RNA from 1 species